UACGUAGGGGGCAAGCGUUGUCCGGAUUUAUUGGGCGUAAAGAGCGUGUAGGCGGCCUGACAGGUCUGCUGUGAAAACUCGAGGCUCAACCUCGAGAUGUCGGCGGAAACCGUCUGGCUAGAGUCCGGAAGAGGAGAGUGGAAUUCCUGGUGUAGCGGUGAAAUGCGUAGAGAUCGGGUGGAACACCAGCGGCGAAGGCGGCAUCCUGGCCCUGUACUGACGCUGAGGCGCGAUAGCGUGGGGAGCAAACGGG
rnacentral:rRNA from 1 species